rnacentral:rRNA from 1 species
AUUGAACGCUGGCGGCAGGCCUAACACAUGCAAGUCGAACGGUAACAGGAAGAAGCUUGCUUCUUUGCUGACGAGUGGCGGACGGGUGAGUAAUGUCUGGGAAACUGCCUGAUGGAGGGGGAUAACUACUGGAAACGGUAGCUAAUACCGCAUAACGUCGCAAGACCAAAGAGGGGGACCUUCGGGCCUCUUGCCAUCGGAUGUGCCCAGAUGGGAUUAGCUUGUCGGUGGGGUAACGGCUCACCAAGGCGACGAUCCCUAGCUGGUCUGAGAGGAUGACCAGCCACACUGGAACUGAGACACGGUCCAGACUCCUACGGGAGGCAGCAGUGGGGAAUAUUGCACAAUGGGCGCAAGCCUGAUGCAGCCAUGCCGCGUGUAUGAAGAAGGCCUUCGGGUUGUAAAGUACUUUCAGCGGGGAGGAAGGGAGUAAAGUUAAUACCUUUGCUCAUUGACGUUACCCGCAGAAGAAGCACCGGCUAACUCCGUG